rnacentral:rRNA from 1 species
AUACGGAGGGUGCAAGCGUUGUUCGGAAUCACUGGGCGUAAAGGGCGCGCAGGCGGUUUGGUAAGUCAGAUGUGAAAGCCCACGGCUCAACCGUGGAAGUGCAUUUGAAACUGUCAGACUUGAGUACUAGAGGGGAAAGUGGAAUUCCCGGUGUAGAGGUGAAAUUCGUAGAUAUCGGGAGGAAUACCGGUGGCGAAGGCGACUUUCUGGCUAGAUACUGACGCUGAGGCGCGAAAGCGUGGGGAGCAAACAGGAUUAGAAGCCCUAGUAGUCC